ACAGGGAAUUAUAAUAUAAAAAUGGCAUUAUCAAUUGAUGAAUUAAAUAAAAUAAAUAGUAAUAUUAACGGUGAAUUCAACGAUAUUAUGCGAAGGUCAGUUUCCUCGUUGGAAAUUGAUACACAAUAUCCGAUAAAAAAACUAUCUUUUGUCAAUACACGUUUUGGAAAGUCCAUUUUAGCUAUAUUGUUUGAUGAAAAGUGUAAUUUAAAUUUCAAGUGUUUUUUACCAAAGAGGGUUACAGAACACAUAACAGAGGAUAUUUUGAAUAAAAUGAAUUCCUCUUGGGAACAAUAUACGAUAACUUAUUUAGGUCAAAGUGAGCCUGCAUUUAAAGAUGGUAAAUGUAAAGCGUUGUUAAAAUUUGGAAUUGUCAUUUAAUUUUUGUUUAUUUAAUUUAAAUAAAAAUAUAUAUAUCUAGUAGUAACAAAUAUGUUUUAUAUAUAGAGUAUAUUCUAGUCAAUAUAAGUAAUUUACACUAUUUAGUCAGUAUAAUAAUAUAAGGUGGCUUCUCUGUUAAUGUUUUAUAAUUCCAAUAGAACAACUAUUGAAAAUGUGGAUGCAUUAUGCUAGUCAAAAUUGGACCGAUGCUGAGGACCUCCAGUCAGCCGUAAAGAGAUUGAUGAAUGAGCUAGAUUGUGUGGCAAUAGAUUGUCUUCACGCAUCUAAUUAUGACAUGAAUUACUGCUUCUCUGAAGAAAAAAUUAAACAGUUGGAGGAGGAUUAUGAAAAACAUCGCCGUGGUGCAUCAUUAUGUAGUAAUUAUUUAAGUGAAACUAUAAAUUUGGACAAUUUUUGCGUGAAAAUGGUUGAGAUAGGACUAAAACAAUUUGUUAUUUCUAUUUUGUUGGAUUAUCUACCAUAUGCAACGGUUGUAAAAUACAAAUUAGCAGCUCAAGAAAAUAAUGCUGGUAAUGAAGAUGAUAUAUUAUAACAUAUCAUUAAAUUUUUAUGUAAUUUAUAUAUUAUCUUA